rfam:Ictidomys tridecemlineatus contig035556, whole genome shotgun sequence.
GGGGAUGUAGUUCAGUGGUACAACACUUGCCUAGCAUGUAUGAGGCCCUGGGUUUGAUUCCAAGCACUGCCA